GAUGAACGCUAGCGGCAGGCUUAACACAUGCAAGUCGAGGGGUAUUGGUUUUCGGACCAAGAGACCGGCGCACGGGUGCGUAACGCGUAUGCAAUCUACCUUUUGCAGAGGGAUAGCCCCAGAGAAAUUUGGAUUAAUACCUCAUAGUAUAGUACUUUGGCAUCAAGGAACUAUUAAAGUCACAACGGCAAAGAUGAGCAUGCGUCCCAUUAGCUAGUUGGUAAGGUAACGGCUUACCAAGGCUACGAUGGGUAGGGGUCCUGAGAGGGAGAUCCCCCACACUGGUACUGAGACACGGACCAGACUCCUACGGGAGGCAGCAGUGAGGAAUAUUGGACAAUGGGCGCAAGCCUGAUCCAGCCAUGCCGCGUGCAGGAUGACGGUCCUAUGGAUUGUAAACUGCUUUUAUACAGGAAGAAACACUCCGACGUGUCGGAGCUUGACGGUACUGUAAGAAUAAGGAUCGGCUAACUCCGUGCCAGCAGCCG
rnacentral:rRNA from 1 species